UACGGAGGGUGCAAGCGUUAAUCGGAAUUACUGGGCGUAAAGCGCGCGUAGGUGGCUUGAUAAGCCGGUUGUGAAAGCCCCGGGCUCAACCUGGGAACGGCAUCAGGAACUGUCAAGCUAGAGUGCAGGCGAGGAAGGUAGAAUUCCCGGUGUAGCGGUGAAAUGCGUAGAGAUCGGGAGGAAUACCAGUGGCGAAGGCGGCCUUCUGGACUGACAGUGACACUGAGGUGCGAAAGCGGGGGUAGGAAACAAG
rnacentral:misc_RNA from 1 species